CUGAGCAGUACGAUCAUGUAUCAGAGCUCCACUAGCUACAGUUACAAUAAACUACUUAACAAUCCAAGGUACCGUCACUUCCUACCUCCUCACGCCCCAUCGCCACAACGAGCAGUGCCCCACAGUCAAGCUUGUCUACCUAUACCACCUCUCACCACAGACUCUUACAACCAGCUACCUACAGCCCACAGCCACCAGAGCAGACGGCAAGUUUCAGCAGGAAGCAUUGGCAGGAAAAACAGAGACAAGCUGGUGUGGCUAGGAUUGAAAUAUUGCUGUGUUUGAAGAAUAAAGGAAAUUCAGAAUUGAUUUUUGUUACCGGGCUGGCUGGUUGCCUCCCUCAACAAUGAUGUAAACUGUGAAUAAAUUGAUUCCAAGUA